rnacentral:rRNA from 1 species
UAACCUUGCGAAAGUAAGACUAAUACCCAAUGAUAUCUCUAGAAGGCAUCUGAAAGAGAUUAAAGAUUUAUCGGUGAUGGAUGGGGAUGCGUCUGAUUAGCUUGUUGGCGGGGUAACGGCCCACCAAGGCAACGAUCAGUAGGGGUUCUGAGAGGAAGGUCCCCCACAUUGGAACUGAGACACGGUCCAAACUCCUACGGGAGGCAGCAGUGAGGAAUAUUGGUCAAUGGACGAGAGUCUGAACCAGCCAAGUAGCGUGCAGGAAGACGGCCCUAUGGGUUGUAAACUGCUUUUAUAAGGGAAUAAAGUGAGUCUCGUGAGACUUUUUGCAUGUACCUUAUGAAUAAGGACCGGCUAAUUCCGUGCCAGCAGCCGCGGUAAUACGGAAGGUCCGGGCGUUAUCCGGAUUUAUUGGGUUUAAAGGGAGCGUAGGCCGGAGAUUAAGCGUGUUGUGAAAUGUAGACGCUCAACGUCUGCACUGCAGCGCGAACUGGUUUCCUUGAGUACGCACAAAGUGGGCGGAAUUCGUGGUGUAGCGGUGAAAUGCUUAGAUAUCACGAAGAACUCCGAUUGCGAAGGCAGCUCACUGGAGCGCAACUGACGCUGAAGCUCGAAAGUGCGGGUAUCGAACAGGAUUAGAUACCCUGGUAGUCCGCACGGUAAACGAUGGAUGCCCGCUGUUGGUCUGAAUAGGUCAGCGGCCAAG